rnacentral:rRNA from 1 species
CCUACGGGCGGCAGCAGUGGGGAAUAUUGGACAAUGGGGGCAACCCUGAUCCAGCCAUGCCGCGUGUGUGAAGAAGGCCCUCGGGUUGUAAAGCACUUUCAGUGAGGAAGAACGCCUGGUGGUUAAUACCCAUCAGGAAAGACAUCACUCACAGAAGAAGCACCGGCUAACUCCGUGCCAGCAGCCGCGGUAAUACGGAGGGUGCGAGCGUUAAUCGGAAUUACUGGGCGUAAAGCGCGCGUAGGUGGCUUGAUAAGCCGGUUGUGAAAGCCCCGGGCUCAACCUGGGAACGGCAUCCGGAACUGUGAAGCUAGAGUGCAGGAGAGGAAGGUAGAAUUCCCGGUGUAGCGGUGAAAUGCGUAGAGAUCGGGAGGAAUACCAGUGGCGAAGGCGGCCUUCUGGACUGACACUGACACUGAGGUGCGAAAGCGUGGGUAGCAAACAGGAUUAGAUACCCCGGUAGUC